rnacentral:rRNA from 1 species
AUGAACGCUAGCUACAGGCUUAACACAUGCAAGUCGAGGGGCAGCAUGGUCUUAGCUUGCUAAGGCCGAUGGCGACCGGCGCACGGGUGAGUAACACGUAUCCAACCUGCCGUCUACUCUUGGAUAGCCUUCUGAAAGGAAGAUUAAUACAAGAUGGCAUCAUGAGUCCGCAUGUUCACAUGAUUAAAGGUAUUCCGGUAGACGAUGGGGAUGCGUUCCAUUAGAUAGUAGGCGGGGUAACGGCCCACCUAGUCUUCGAUGGAUAGGGGUUCUGAGAGGAAGGUCCCCCACAUUGGAACUGAGACACGGUCCAAACUCCUACGGGAGGCAGCAGUGAGGAAUAUUGGUCAAUGGGCGAGAGCCUGAACCAGCCAAGUAGCGUGAAGGAUGACUGCCCUAUGGGUUGUAAACUUCUUUUAUAAAGGAAUAAAGUCGGGUAUGGAUACCCGUUUGCAUGUACUUUAUGAAUAAGGAUCGGCUAACUCCGUGCCAGCAGCCGCGGUAAUACGGAGGAUCCGAGCGUUAUCCGGAUUUAUUGGGUUUAAAGGGAGCGUAGAUGGAUGUUUAAGUCAGUUGUGAAAGUUUGCGGCUCAACCGUAAAAUUGCAGUUGAUACUGGAUAUCUUGAGUGCAGUUGAGGCAGGCGGAAUUCGUGGUGUAGCGGUGAAAUGCUUAGAUAUCACGAAGAACUCCGAUUGCGAAGGCAGCCUGCUAAGCUGCAACUGACAUUGAGGCUCGAAAGUGUGGGUAGCAAACAGGAUUAGAUACCCUGGUAGUCCACACCGUAAACGAUGAUUACUAGGUGUUGGAGGAUUGACCCCUUCAGUGCCGCAGUUAACACAAUAAGUAAUCCACCUGGGGAGUACGACCGCAAGGUUGAAACUCAAAGGAAUUGACGGGGGCCCGCACAAGCAGUGGAGUAUGUGGUUUAAUUCGACGCAACGCGAAGAACCUUACCAAGUCUUGACAUCCCACUGACCGGACAGUAAUGUGUCCUUUCCUUCGGGACAGUGGUGACAGGUGGUGCAUGGUUGUCGUCAGCUCGUGCCGUGAGGUGUCGGCUUAAGUGCCAUAACGAGCGCAACCCUUGUUGUCAGUUACUAACAGGUUCCGCUGAGGACUCUGACAAGACUGCCAUCGUAAGAUGUGAGGAAGGUGGGGAUGACGUCAAAUCAGCACGGCCCUUACGUCCGGGGCUACACACGUGUUACAAUGGGGGGUACAGAGGGCCGCUACCACGCGAGUGGAUGCCAAUCCCCAAAACCUCUCUCAGUUCGGACUGGAGUCUGCAACCCGACUCCACGAAGCUGGAUUCGCUAGUAAUCGCGCAUCAGCCACGGCGCGGUGAAUACGUUCCCGGGCCUUGUACACACCGCCCGUCAAGCCAUGGGAGCCGGGGGUACCUGAAGUGCGUAACCGCGAGGAGCGCCCUAGGGUAAAACUGGUGACUGGGGCU